rnacentral:rRNA from 1 species
GGCUUAACACAUGCAAGUCGAGGGGAAACGACAUCGAAAGCUUGCUUUUGAUGGGCGUCGACCGGCGCACGGGUGAGUAACGCGUAUCCAACCUGCCCACCACUUGGGGAUAACCUUGCGAAAGUAAGACUAAUACCCAAUGAUAUCUCUAGAAGACAUCUGAAAGAGAUUAAAGAUUUAUCGGUGAUGGAUGGGGAUGCGUCUGAUUAGCUUGUUGGCGGGGUAACGGCCCACCAAGGCGACGAUCAGUAGGGGUUCUGAGAGGAAGGUCCCCCACAUUGGAACUGAGACACGGUCCAAACUCCUACGGGAGGCAGCAGUGAGGAAUAUUGGUCAAUGGACGAGAGUCUGAACCAGCCAAGUAGCGUGCAGGAUGACGGCCCUAUGGGUUGUAAACCGCUUUUAUAAGGGAAUAAAGUGAGUCUCGUGAGACUUUUUGCAUGUACCUUAUGAAUAAGGACCGGCUAAUUCCGUGCCAGCAGCCGCGGUAAUACGGAAGGUCCGGGCGUUAUCCGGAUUUAUUGGGUUUAAAGGGAGCGUAGGCCGGAGAUUAAGCGUGUUGUGAAAUGUAGAUGCUCAACAUCUGCACUGCAGCGCGAACUGGUUUCCUUGAGUACGCACAAAGUGGGCGGAAUUCGUGGUGUAGCGGUGAAAUGCUUAGAUAUCACGAAGAACUCCGAUUGCGAAGGCAGCUCACUGGAGCGCAACUGACGCUGAAGCUCGAAAGUGCGGGUAUCGAACAGGAUUAGAUACCCUGGUAGUCCGCACGGUAAACGAUGGAUGCCCGCUGUUGGUCUGAAUAGGUCAGCGGCCAAGCGAAAGCAUUAAGCAUCCCACCUGGGGAGUACGCCGGCAACGGUG